CUGCUGCCUCCCGUAGGAGUUUGGGCCGUGUCUCAGUCCCAAUGUGGCCGAUCAACCUCUCAAUUCGGCUACGCAUCAUUGCCUUGGUAAGCCUUUACCCUACCAACUAGCUAAUGCGCCGCGGGCCCAUCCAAAAGCGGUAGUAUAGCCACCUUUUACAUAGUUACCAUGCGGUAACUAUGGUUAUGCGGUAUUAGCACCUGUUUCCAAGUGCUAUCCCCCUCUUUUGGGCAGGUUGCCCACGUGUUACUCACCCGUUCGCCA
rnacentral:rRNA from 1 species